CAGUAGCCGCGGGAAUACGUAGGGUGCAAGCGUUAAUCGGAAUUACUGGGCGUAAAGCGCGCGUAGGUGGUUUGUUAAGUUGGAUGUGAAAGCCCCGGGCUCAACCUGGGAACUGCAUCCAAAACUGGCAAGCUAGAGUACGGUAGAGGGUGGUGGAAUUUCCUGUGUAGCGGUGAAAUGCGUAGAUAUAGGAAGGAACACCAGUGGCGAAGGCGACCACCUGGACUGAUACUGACACUGAGGUGCGAAAGCGUGGGGAGCAAACAGGAUUAGAUACCCCCGUAGUCCCUGUCUCUUAUAC
rnacentral:rRNA from 1 species